rnacentral:lncRNA from 1 species
UUUAGGAGGCUGAGGCCAGGAGUUUGAGAUCAGCACGGGCAACACAGCAAGACAAUUAAGAUUUGACGCUUACAUUUUUCUCCUCAAGGGUGGGGAAAAUAGUCCCUAACCUCACGAACUGAAGCAUGCAGGGGCCACCACCCAAGGGCUUUUGCAAAGCAUCCCUCUUCAUCGAGUCCAACCUGGACGCAGGAUCCUGAACCUACUGAGGGGAUGGAGAGAACCAGCAGAGCUCCCCAAGUUGGGGGCCCCAUCCCCUGGGGACAAGCCCAUCUUCGUACCUCUCUCGAACUACAGGGAUGUGAGUCACAGCCCCACACAGCCCUCACCCCUGCGCCCUUGAGCCAAACUCUUCGUUUACUCUCCUCUUUUGCUAUCAGGUGCAGUAUUUUGGGGAAAUUGGGCUGGGAACGCCUCCACAAAACUUCACUGUUGCCUUUGACACUGGCUCCUCCAAUCUCUGGGUCCCGUCCAGGAGAUGCCACUUCUUCAGUGUGCCCUGCUGUGAGCUUCUAUGUGGGAGAAUAAGGCUGAAUGGGGGUGAAGGGAGGAGGCGGGGCUGGA